GAGUUUGAUCCUGGCUCAGGAUGAACGCUAGCGGCAGGCCUAAUACAUGCAAGUCGGACGGGAUCUAGAUCUAAGCUUGCUUAGAUUUAGUGAGAGUGGCGCACGGGUGCGUAACGCGUGAGCAACCUACCCAUAUCAGGGGGAUAGCCCGGAGAAAUCCGGAUUAACACCGCAUGACACAACGACUCGGCAUCGAGAUGUUGUUAAAUAUUUAUAGGAUAUGGAUGGGCUCGCGUGACAUUAGCUAGUUGGUAAGGUAACGGCUUACCAAGGCUACGAUGUCUAGGGGCUCUGAGAGGAGAAUCCCCCACACUGGUACUGAGACACGGACCAGACUCCUACGGGAGGCAGCAGUAAGGAAUAUUGGUCAAUGGAGGGAACUCUGAACCAGCCAUGCCGCGUGCAGGAUGACUGCCCUAUGGGUUGUAAACUGCUUUUGUCCAGGAAUAACCACCACUACGUGUAGUGGCUUGAAUGUACUGGAAGAAUAAGGAUCGGCUAACUCCGUGCCAGCAGCCGCGGUAAUACGGAGGAUCCGAGCGUUAUCCGGAUUUAUUGGGUUUAAAGGGUGCGUAGGCGGCUCAUUAAGUCAGGGGUGAAAGACGGCAGCUCAACUGUCGCAGUGCCUUUGAUACUGAUGAGCUUGAAUGUGGUUGAAGAUGGCGGAAUGAGACAAGUAGCGGUGAAAUGCAUAGAUAUGUCUCAGAACUCCGAUUGCGAAGGCAGCUGUCUAAGUCAUUAUUGACGCUGAUGCACGAAAGCGUGGGGAUCGAACAGGAUUAGAUACCCUGGUAGUCCACGCCCUAAACGAUGAUAACUCGAUGUUGGCGAUACACAGUCAGCGUCUUAGCGAAAGCGUUAAGUUAUCCACCUGGGGAGUACGCCCGCAAGGGUGAAACUCAAAGGAAUUGACGGGGGCCCGCACAAGCGGAGGAGCAUGUGGUUUAAUUCGAUGAUACGCGAGGAACCUUACCCGGGCUUGAAAGUUACUGAAUUAUCUAGAGAUAGAUAAGUCCUUCGGGACAGGAAACUAGGUGCUGCAUGGCUGUCGUCAGCUCGUGCCGUGAGGUGUUGGGUUAAGUCCCGCAACGAGCGCAACCCCUAUGUUUAGUUGCCAGCAUGUAAUGAUGGGGACUCUAAACAGACUGCCAGCGUAAGCUGUGAGGAAGGUGGGGACGACGUCAAGUCAUCAUGGCCCUUACGUCCGGGGCUACACACGUGCUACAAUGGAUGGUACAGCGGGCAGCUACCUGGUAACAGGAUGCUAAUCUCGAAAAGCCAUUCACAGUUCGGAUUGAGGUCUACAACUCGACCUCAUGAAGUUGGAUUCGCUAGUAAUCGCGUAUCAGCAAUGACGCGGUGAAUACGUUCNCCGGGACCUUGUACACACCGCCCGUC
rnacentral:rRNA from 1 species